rnacentral:rRNA from 1 species
UAAGGAAUAUUGGACAAUGGAGGCAACUCUGAUCCAGCCAUGCCGCGUGAAGGAAUAAGGCCCUAUGGGUUGUAAACUUCUUUUAGACGGGACAAAACCCCUUUACGUGUAAAGGGUUGAUGGUACUGUCAGAAUAAGCAUCGGCUAACUUCGUGCCAGCAGCCGCGGUAAUACGAAGGAUGCAGGCGUUAUCCGGAAUUAUUGGGUUUAAAGGGUGCGUAGGCGGACUAAUAAGUCAGUGGUGAAAGCCUGCAGCUUAACUGCAGAAUUGCCAUUGAUACUGUUAGUCUUGAGUACAGUUGAGGUAGGCGGAAUGUGUCAUGUAGCGGUGAAAUGCUUAGAUAUGACACAGAACACCGAUUGCGAAGGCAGCUUGCUAAGCUGUAACUGACGCUGAGGCACGAAAGCGUGGGGAGCAAACA